GGGUGUGAGGGUGAUCUGGCUGUGAUAUCUGUCACCUCAUUGACCACUAGGGUUGAUGCAGUUGACAUGGCUGGCUAGAUGGGUGUCCCCUCCUCCUCAUCACUCCAGGUGUGUCCCUCCCAAAGCUGCAUGCUCAUUCAAAGAAGAUGACCAUCCCUGCUAGAGGAGGACUAUGAGUAGCCAAGGGUACAUGAGUGGCCAUGCUCCCCCAUUAGAAACUCCAAAUAAGCUCUCAUGAAUUAGGAAGAACUGCACCCAAAUAAUUAAUGAGAGCAAAUUCCUCUUUAUAGAAAUAAUU
rnacentral:snRNA from 1 species